AGCGAACGCUGGCGGCAGGCUUAACACAUGCAAGUCGAGCGGGCAUCCUUGUGGUGUCAGCGGCAGACGGGUGAGUAACGCGUGGGAACGUGCCCUUCGGUUCGGAAUAACUCAGGGAAACUUGAGCUAAUACCGGAUACGUGCGAGAGCAGAAAGGUUUAUCUGCCGAAGAAUCGGCCCGCGUCUGAUUAGCUAGUUGGUGAGGUUACGGCUCACCAAGGCGACGAUCAGUAGCUGGUCUGAGAGGAUGAUCAGCCACACUGGGACUGAGACACGGCCCAGACUCCUACGGGAGGCAGCAGUGGGGAAUAUUGGACAAUGGGGGCAACCCUGAUCCAGCCAUGCCGCGUGAGUGAUGACGGCCUUAGGGUUGUAAAGCUCUUUUCUCCGGGACGAUAAUGACGGUACCGGAGGAAUAAGCCCCGGCUAACUUCGUG
rnacentral:rRNA from 1 species